rnacentral:rRNA from 1 species
CUUAGUGGCGGACGGGUGAGUAACGCGUGGGCAACCUGCCCCGUNCCGGGGGAUACCGCCUGGAAACAGGCGCUAAUACCGCAUAAGCGCAUACAGCCGCAUGGCAGUAUGCGGAAAGCUCCGGCGGCACGGGAUGGGCCCGCGCCCGAUUAGCCAGUUGGCGGGGUAACGGCCCACCAAAGCGACGAUCGGUAGCCGGCCUGAGAGGGCGGACGGCCACAUUGGGACUGAGACACGGCCCAAACUCCUACGGGAGGCAGCAG